UACGUAGGGUGCGAGCGUUAAUCGGAAUUACUGGGCGUAAAGCGUGCGCAGGCGGUGCGCCAAGCUCGAUGUGAAAGCCCCGGGCUUAACCUGGGAAUGGCAUUUGGGACUGCAAGGCUUGAGUGCGGCAGAGGAGACUGGAAUUCCUGGUGUAGCAGUGAAAUGCGUAGAUAUCAGGAGGAAUACCGAUGGCGAAGGCAGGUCUCUGGGCUGACACUGACGCUCAUGCACGAAAGCGUGGGGAGCAAACAGG
rnacentral:rRNA from 1 species